rnacentral:rRNA from 1 species
UACAGAGGGGGCGAGCGUUGUUCGGAAUUACUGGGCGUAAAGGGCGCGUAGGCGGCCCGCUAAGUCGAACGUGAAAUCCCCAGGCUCAACCUGGGAACUGCAUUCGAAACUGCCAGCCUUGAGUGGUGGAGAGGGAGUGGAAUUCCUGGUGUAGAGGUGAAAUUCGUAGAUAUCAGGAGGAACACCGGUGGCGAAGGCGGUUCUCUGGGCCGUAACUGACGCUGAGGAGCGAAAGCAUGGGGAGCGAACAGG